rnacentral:rRNA from 1 species
AGUGAACGCUGGCGGUAGGCCUAACACAUGCAAGUCGAACGGCAGCACAGUAAGAGCUUGCUCUUACGGGUGGCGAGUGGCGGACGGGUGAGGAAUACAUCGGAAUCUACUUUUUCGUGGGGGAUAACGUAGGGAAACUUACGCUAAUACCGCAUACGACCUACGGGUGAAAGCAGGGGAUCUUCGGACCUUGCGCGAUUGAAUGAGCCGAUGUCGGAUUAGCUAGUUGGCGGGGUAAAGGCCCACCAAGGCGACGAUCCGUAGCUGGUCUGAGAGGAUGAUAGGCCACACUGGAACUGAGACACGGUCCAGACUCCUACGGGAGGCAGCAGUGGGGAAUAUUGGACAAAGGGCGCAAGCCUGAUCCAGCCAUACCGCGUGGGUGAAGAAGGCCUUCGGGUUGUAAAGCCCUUUUGUUGGGAAAGAAAAGCAGCAGGUUAAUACCCCGCUGUUCUGACGGUACCCAAAGAAUAAGCACCGGCUAACUUCGUG